ACAAACUCAGCCAGCACUCACAGAAUUCACAUGAAGGGCCUCUGUUACCAGGUUUUCACUGCAGGCCACACACAGUUCACAGUUUCUCUUCAGAUCCAAGGGUGAUGUGGUAGUCAGGGCUGACUCCCAGAUUUGGCAAACAGGGACGACUCAGACCUUCAGUACCUUGGACAGAGGUCUGCCCCACUGUGCUCAGUAGAGGCUUCUUUCUGCACUGGUCUGGGGCUGAGUGCUAAUGGGAAGCCUGGGCCUCCCCACCCCAGGUAUACAGGAGGAGCAUACAGCUGUAGGGGCAGUCACCCAGCCCCCAGGUAUACAGGAGGAGCAUACAGCUGCAGGACAGUCACCCAGCCCCCAGGUAUACAGGAGGAGACAGCUGUAGGGGCAGUCACCCGGCCCCCAGGUAUACAGGAGGAGCAGACAGCUGCAGGACAGUCACCCGGCCCCCAGGUAUACAGGAGGAGACAGCUGUAGGGGCAGUCACCCGGCCCCCAGGUAUACAGGAGGAGCAUACAGCUGCAGGACAGUCACCCGGCCCCCAGGUAUAGAGGAGGAGCAGACAGCUGCAGGACAGUCACCCAGCCCCCAGGUAUACAGGAGGAGACAGCUGUAGGGGCAGUCACCCGGCCCCCAGGUAUACAGGAGGAGCAGACAGCUGCAGGACAGUCACCCAGCCCCCAGGUACACAGGAGGAGGAGACUGCUGGGCAGGGUUUGCAGUCCCAGGCCUGCUGAGGAUGCUGGUGUCUCUACAGUUCCAGCAUCCAAGGGGAAUUACUUUCUCUUUCUCCAUCCUUUGCUAGCUGGUGUCUGUGAUCCCUGGGCCUGCAGUCUUUAUCCCUCCCUCCCCUUUCCUCAGACUUCUGGUUCUUCUUUUUCCCUUCUGAUACAAGGUGUCAUGUCCCGCCACAUACCUGAAGGUCCUGGUGUGCGGUGGGAAGUCAGCUCCCCUGGCCUGUCCUGACAAGUGCUAAAUGUGCCAUUUCAAAGGCAUUUUUGCUGUGUCACAAUGCUUCAAGGUCCCCUCAUUUGUCUGCCCUGCCCAACUGAAUGGUUGGGUGCUGUCCAGGGUACCAGGCCUUUCCUGACCUCCAUGUUGUGCCAAGGAGAGGAGGGACAAAGGCUGUGUGGGUGGAGUGUCUGGCUCCCCACUGGGGCCCAGUGUGACAGUCGGUAACACACCUGAGUCUCGCCAUGUGGGUUCACUCAGCAGCUUCAUGGCAGCCCAGCCAAUGGGAGCUCUGACAACCCUCAGCGUGGCACCCGUGCCCUCCUUUACCCCUCUCACCCAUAGGACAGUGUAACUGAUGAAGCCCCAGUGAGUUUUGUCUGCAGAGCCAAGACAGAGGCAGACCUGGGCUCUGAAUGGCACCCAGGCUCUACCGUUGGCUAACUCUACCAACAGGCAGGCAUGCGCAUCCUCGGGCACAGGCAUGACAGUUUCCUCUAGAGAGAUGAAAUGAGACAAGAGGGGGCUCUCUGUUCUGUCGUGGAGCUGUACUCUAGACAAGACCCAAGUCCUGCCCUCAGCUAUUGUCUGUUUGUCAAGUUGCUGGGGCCGAUGCUGCUCCGGAAGGCAGUGUACGGACCCCAGCCCAUACUUCAAGUAGCACCUUAGGUGGACCACACAAGGUGCUUGUCACAGUGCCCAGCACAGGGAAGUGCUGAGCACAGCUACCACCAGUCUUUGUCUAAGUGUCCCCGGAGCCCGGGGUGGAGGGCCUCCCCCACUCUCGUGUCAAGCCAGCAGCAGGGCGUGGGCACACAGAGGUGGGUGUGCCCACAGCAGCUCAUGGGUAAGGUCACUGACAGCCUGUCUUCUCCCUUCCUGUGCCU